UGGAGUGGGGACUAGCUGCGAGUCACGCCGCNAGGCGUGGCAUACGGCUCAGUAACACGUAGUCAACAUGCCCAAAGGACGUGGAUAACCUCGGGAAACUGAGGAUAAACCGCGAUAGGCCAAGGUUUCUGGAAUGAGCCAUGGCCAAAAUCUAUAUGGCCUUUGGAUUGGACUGCGGCCGAUCAGGCUGUUGGUGAGGUAAUGGCCCACCAAACCUGUUACCGGUACGGGCUUUGAGAGAAGGAGCCCGGAGAUGGGCACUGAGACAAGGGCCCAGGCCCUAUGGGGCGCAGCAGGCGCGAAACCUCUGCAAUAGGCGAAAGCCUGACAGGGUUACUCUGAGUGAUGCCCGCUAAGGGUAUCUUUUGGCACCUCUAAAAAUGGUGCAGAAUAAGGGGUGGGCAAGUCUGGUGUCAGCCGCCGCGGUAAUACCAGCACCCCGAGUAGUCGGGACGAUUAUUGGGCCUAAAGCAUCCGUAGCCGGUUCUGCAAGUCCUCCGUUAAAUCCACCUGCUCAACAGAUGGGCUGCGGGGGAUACCGCAGAGCCAGGAGGCGGGAGAGGCAAACGGUACUCAGUGGGUAGGGGUAAAAUCCUUUGAUCUACUGAAGACCACCAGUGGCGAAGGCGGUUUGCCAGAACGCGCUCGACGGUGAGGGAUGAAAGCUGGGGGAGCAAACCGGAUUAGAUACCCGGGUAGUCCCAGCUGUAAACGAUGCAGACUCGGUGAUGGGUUGGCUUUCCACCCAACCCAUUGCCCCAAGGAAGCCCGUAAAUCCUGCGCCCUGGGAAGUACGGUCCCCAAAACUGAAACUUAAAGAAAUUGGCCGGGGAACCACACCAAAGGGUGG
rnacentral:rRNA from 1 species